GAGGGGCUCGCGGCCUAUCAGCUAGUUGGCGAGGUAAUGGCUCACCAAGGCUACGACGGGUAGCUGGUCUGAGAGGAUGGCCAGCCACAUUGGGACUGAGAUACGGCCCAGACUCCUACGGGAGGCAGCAGUGGGGAAUCUUGCGCAAUGGCCUAACGGCUGACGCAGCGACGCCGCGUGUGGGAUGAAGCUCCUCGGAGUGUAAACCACUGUUGCCCGGGACGAAUAGCUCGAUUAAUCGAGCCUGACGGUACCGGGUGAGGAAGCACCGGCUAACUCCGUGCCAGCAGCCGCGGUAAUACGGGGGGUGCGAGCGUUGUCCGGAAUCACUGGGCGUAAAGGGCGCGUAGGUGGUUUGAUAAGGGUGUGGUGAAAGCCCGGGGCUCAACCCCGGGUCUGCCGUGCCGACUGUUAAACUCGAGGGCUGUAGAGGCAGACGGAAUUCCGGGUGUAGCGGUGGAAUGCGUAGAGAUCCGGAGGAAGACCGGUGGCGAAGGCGGUCUGCUGGGCAGUUUCUGACGCUGAUGAGCGAAAGCCAGGGGAGCAAACGGGAUUAGAUACCCCGGUAGUCCUGGCCCUAAACGAUGAAUGCUUGGUGU
rnacentral:rRNA from 1 species